rnacentral:rRNA from 1 species
CACGGGGGGAGCAAGCGUUGUUCGGAAUCACUGGGCGUAAAGGGCGUGUAGGCGGUUGUGUAAGUGGGAUGUGAAAUGCCUCGGCUUACCCGGGGACCUGCAUCCCAUACUGCAUGACUUGAGUACGGGAGAGGAUGAGGGAAUUCCUGGUGUAGCGGUGAAAUGCGUAGAUAUCUGGAGGAACACCGGUGGCGAAGGCGGCAUCCUGGACCAAUUCUGACACUGAGGAGCGAAAGCCAGGGGAGCAAACGGGG